rnacentral:lncRNA from 1 species
AGCAAUGAGUUGAGUAGAAGCUAAUGCUUGGAGUCUAGUGUAGUCUCCUUAGUGGGUCGUGCUCUGAUAGAUGUAACAUCGGGAUGGGAUGUUUUAACUUGUUUUAAAUGUUUUAUUGUUGGUUGUGAACCAUUUUACAUGUAAUGUCUUACAUGAUUGAUGAGAUUUAUAUCCGCUGCGUUUUAUGCAAAUGUUUAUGUUUUGAAUUAAUAAAGGAGCAUGACCGUUAUAUUGUUGAA